ACCCGAAGUCGCCGGGAGCCUUAGGGCAGGCGCCGAGGGUAGGGCUCGUGACUGGGGCGAAGUCGUAACAAGGUAGCUGUACCGGAAGGUGCGGCUGGAUCACCUCCUUU
rnacentral:rRNA from 1 species